rnacentral:rRNA from 1 species
AUUGAACGCUGGCGGCAGGCCUAACACAUGCAAGUCGAGCGAGCGGCGGACGGGUGAGUAAUGUAUGGGGACUGCCCGAUAGAGGGGGAUAACUACUGGAAACGGUGGCUAAUACCGCAUCCUAUCGGAUAACCCAUAUGGGAUUAGCUAGUAGGUGGGGUAAAGGCUCACCUAGGCGACGAUCUCUCGCUGGUCUGAGAGGAUGAUCAGACACACUGGGCCUGAGACACGGCCCAUACUCCUACGGAGGAAGCAGGGGGGAAUAUUGCACAAUGGGAGAAAGCCUGAUGCAGCCAUGCCGCGGGUAUGAAGAAGGCCUUAGGGUUGUAAAGUACUUUCAGCGGGGAGGCGUUAACCGCAGAAGAAGCACCGGCUAACUCCGUGCCAGCCGCCGCGGUAAUAC